rnacentral:rRNA from 1 species
UACGAAGGGGGCUAGCGUUGUUCGGAAUUACUGGGCGUAAAGCGCACGUAGGCGGAUCGAUCAGUCAGGGGUGAAAUCCCAGAGCUCAACUCUGGAACUGCCUUUGAUACUGUCGAUCUAGAGUAUGGAAGAGGUGAGUGGAAUUCCGAGUGUAGAGGUGAAAUUCGUAGAUAUUCGGAGGAACACCAGUGGCGAAGGCGGCUCACUGGCCCGGUACUGACGCUGAGGUGCGAAAGCGUGGGGAGCAAACAGG